AUGUCCUGGACCCCUGUCCUGCUGGCGCUCCUGGCCCACUGCACAGGCUCCACGGCCUCCUAUGAACUGACCCAGCCGCCCUCAGUGUCAAUAGCCCCUGGAACAAGGUCAGGAUCACCUGCUCAGGAGGUAACGUCAUGCAUAAACAUGCAUCUUGGUACCAGCAGAAGCCGGGCCAGGCCCCUGUGUUGUUCGUCUAUGACAAUAGCAACCGGCCCUCAGGGAUCCUUGACCAAUUCUCUGGCUCCAUUCAGGGAACACAGCCAUCCUGAUCAUCAGCGGGGACUGGGCCGAGGCCGAGGCUAUUACAGUGCCGUGUAAUGGCAGUGGGAGCCGUGACUCAUGCGGAGACCACCCCCUCUUUGGCGGCGGGACCCAGCUCACCGUCCUAGGUCAGCCCAAGUCUGCACCCUCGGUCACUCUGUUCGCGCCCUCCACUGAGGAGCUCAAGGCCAACAAGGCCACCCUGGUGUGUCUCAUCAACGACUUCUACCCGGGCAGCAUGACGGUGGCCUGGAAGGCAGGCAGCACCACCAUCACCAGGGGCGUGGAGACCGCCCAGCCCUUGAAACAGAGCAACAACAAGUACGCGGCCAGCAGCUACCUGGCCCUGACGGCCAGCGAGUGGAGAUCUUAUGACAGUGUCAGCUGCCAGGUCACGCAUGAGGGGAGCACCGUGGAGAAGACAGUGGCGUCCUCAGGGUGCCCUUAGGUCCCUGGACCCCCCACCCUCCGGGGCCUGGAGCCACGGGUCCCCUGGGGGGGUCUCCCCUCCCAUCCUGGUCCCCCCAGCCCUUCCUCCUGCACCCAAUCAACUCUCAAUAGAAUGUUUUCAUCGUUAUUCAGAAAUCUCUGCUCAUUUCUUUCUUUCUUUUUUUUUUUUUUUUUGUUGUACGCGGGCCUCUCACUGUUGUGGCCUCUCCCGUUGCGGAGCACAGGCUCCGGACGCGCAGGCUCAGCGGCCAUGGCUCACGGGCCCAGCCGCUCCGCGGCAUGUGAGAUCUUCCCAGACUGGGGCACGAACCCGUGUCCCCUGCAUCGGCAGGCGGACUCUCAACCACUGCGCCACCAGGGAAGCCCUCUGCUCAUUUCUUUUUUUUUUGUCUCUUAUUUAAUUUGCACCCUCUCCAGAAUUCUGGGGGUGGGGUGGGGAAUCCUAGGCACCAGUGAGAAAGUAACUGAAGGGAGAGGCUCACAGUCUCCUGGGUGGGGGCAUCUCCCAGGCAACCAGCCAGG